CCUACGGGCGGGCAGCAGUGGGGGAUAUUGCACAAUGGGGGGAACCCUGAUGCAGCGACGCCGCGUGGGUGAAGAAGCGCCUCGGCGCGUAAAGCCCUGUCAGCAGGGAAGAAAAUGACGGUACCUGAAGAAGAAGCCCCGGCUAACUACGUGCCAGCAGCCGCGGUAAUACGUAGGGGGCAAGCGUUAUCCGGAUUUACUGGGUGUAAAGGGGGCGCAGACGGCGAUGCAAGCCAGGAGUGAAAGCCCGGGGCCCAACCCCGGGACUGCUCUUGGAACUGCGUGGCGGGAGUGCAGGAGGGGCAGGCGGAAGUCCUGGUGUAGCGGUGAAAUGCGUAGAGAUCAGGAGGAACACCGGUGGCGAAGGCGGCCUGCUGGACUGCAACUGACGUUGAGGCCCGAAAGCGUGGGGAGCAAACAGGAGUAGAGACCCUAGUAGUC
rnacentral:rRNA from 1 species